ACGGGUGCGUAACGCGUGGGAAUCUGCCCUUUGGUUCGGAAUAACAGCUGGAAACGGCUGCUAAUACGGGAUGAUGACGAAAGUCCAAAGAUUUAUCGCCAGAGGAUGAGCCCGCGUUGGAUUAGGUAGUUGGUGGGGUAAAGGCCUACCAAGCCGACGAUCCAUAGCUGGUCUGAGAGGAUGAUCAGCCACACUGGGACUGAGACACGGCCCAGACUCCUACGGGAGGCAGCAGUGGGGAAUAUUGGACAAUGGGCGAAAGCCUGAUCCAGCAAUGCCGCGUGAGUGAUGAAGGCCCUAGGGUUGUAAAGCUCUUUUACCCGGGAAGAUAAUGACUGUACCGGGAGAAUAAGCCCCGGCUAACUCCGUGCCAGCAGCCGCGGUAAUACGGAGGGGGCUAGCGUUGUUCGGAAUUACUGGGCGUAAAGCGCACGUAGGCGGCUUUGUAAGUCAGAGGUGAAAGCCUGGAGCUCAACUCCAGAACUGCCUUUGAGACUGCAUCGCUUGAAUCCAGGAGAGGUCAGUGGAAUUCCGAGU
rnacentral:rRNA from 1 species